rnacentral:tRNA from 1 species
GAGGGAUUAUUAUAAUUAGUAUAACAAAUUGCAAAUUUGUUGGUUUUAUCUCUUU